rnacentral:rRNA from 1 species
AGAGUUUGAUCCUGGCUCAGGACGAACGCUGGCGGCGUGCCUAAUACAUGCAAGUCGAACGCUGCUUAAGAAGAAACUUCGGUUUUUUCUUAAGCGGAGUGGCGGACGGGUGAGUAACACGUGGGGAACCUAUCCAUCAGCGGGGGAUAACACUUGGAAACAGGUGCUAAUACCGCAUACGGCUUUUUUUCACCUGAAAGAAAGCUCAAAGGCGCUUUACAGCGUCACUGAUGGCUGGUCCCGCGGUGCAUUAGCCAGUUGGUGAGGUAACGGCUCACCAAAGCAACGAUGCAUAGCCGACCUGAGAGGGUGAUCGGCCACACUGGGACUGAGACACGGCCCAGACUCCUACGGGAGGCAGCAGUAGGGAAUCUUCGGCAAUGGACGCAAGUCUGACCGAGCAACGCCGCGUGAGUGAAGAAGGUUUUCGGAUCGUAAAGCUCUGUUGUCAGCAAAGAACAGGAGAAAGAGGCAAUGCUUUUUCUAUGACGGUAGCUGACCAGAAAGCCACGGCUAACUACGUGCCAGCAGCCGCGGUAAUACGUAGGUGGCAAGCGUUGUCCGGAUUUAUUGGGCGUAAAGCGAGCGCAGGCGGUGAUUUAAGUCUGAUGUGAAAGCCCCCAGCUCAACUGGGGAGGGUCAUUGGAAACUGGAUCACUUGAGUGCAGAAGAGGAGAGUGGAAUUCCAUGUGUAGCGGUGAAAUGCGUAGAUAUAUGGAGGAACACCAGUGGCGAAGGCGGCUCUCUGGUCUGUAACUGACGCUGAGGCUCGAAAGCGUGGGUAGCAAACAGGAUUAGAUACCCUGGUAGUCCACGCCGUAAACGAUGAGUGCUAAGUGUUGGAGGGUUUCCGCCCUUCAGUGCUGCAGUUAACGCAUUAAGCACUCCGCCUGGGGAGUACGACCGCAAGGUUGAAACUCAAAGGAAUUGACGGGGGCCCGCACAAGCGGUGGAGCAUGUGGUUUAAUUCGAAGCAACGCGAAGAACCUUACCAGGUCUUGACAUCCUUU